rnacentral:rRNA from 1 species
AGUCCUGGGAAACUGGGUUUAAUACCGUAUGGUGUCUACGGACUAAAGAUUUAUCGGCAAAGGAUCGGCCCGCGUUGGAUUAGGUAGUUGGUGGGGUAAUGGCCUACCAAGCCGACGAUCCAUAGCUGGUUUGAGAGGAUAAUCAGCCACGCUGGGACUGAGACACGGCCCAGACUCCUACGGGAGGCAGCAGUGGGGAAUCUUAGACAAUGGGGGCAACCCUGAUCUAGCCAUGCCGCGUGAGCGAUGAAGGCCUUAGGGUUGUAAAGCUCUUUCGCUGGGGAAGAUAAUGACGGUACCCAGUAAAGAAGCCCCGGCUAACUCCGUGCCAGCAGCCGCGGUAAUACGGAGGGGGCUAGCGUUGUUCGGAAUUACUGGGCGUAAAGCGCGCGUAGGCGGACUGGAAAGUUGGGGGUGAAAUCCCGGGGCUCAACCCCGGAACUGCCUCCAAAACUAUCAGUCUGGAGUUCGAGAGAGGUGAGUGGAAUUGCGAGUGUAGAGGUGAAAUUCGUAGAUAUUCGCAGGAACACCAGUGGCGAAGGCGGCUCACUGGCUCGAUACUGACGCUGAGGUGCGAAAGUGUGGGGAGCAAACAGGAUUAGAUACCCUGGUAGUCCACACCGUAAACGAUGAAUGCCAGACGUCGGGUAGCAUGCUGCUCGGUGUCACACCUAACG